rnacentral:lncRNA from 1 species
CUCCUUCUCCAUGUUGGAAGUAUGGUCUUUCCAUUGAUGCUGAAGUGUCUCACUAUUCAGUGAGAGCUCACUGCAGACAGCCAGAUGGAGAGACUGGCUCAGCUGGUCUCAUCUGAAUGUCUCACUGUGCUCAGCACGAGUUUGGUGAUUCUCAAAAAGUAUUUCCCUCAGCAGCACAUCUGAGCGCAUCUUCCAAGGGAGGCCGACUGUGUGAGAUCUCACUGCAGGAAGUUAGCUGGAACAGUCCUUCUCGUGGCUCAACAUUGUCCUGCUCUGUGGCAUCAGCUGGAGAGCGUUGGACCCCACACCACGCGGAAGCUGUUAAGGCCCUGGGAUCCCUGUUGGCUAUGAUCACAUAGCUGUAAAGAAGCAGAAACAAGACCUGAUCUGGGUCAGAUAUGACAGUCCUUCAUCCCAGACUGCAGACCAACUUGUCUACAGUGUCUACUUGGAGCCAACUUGUCUACAAUGGAGGAUUUCCAUUUCCUUUUAGGAACAAGAAUUUGGAUAAAUAUUGUUCUUACGGCAUUUAAACUGUUUAUCACAGCUUCUAUUUCAGGCAUAGAGAAAUAGACAUCAGCUCUGUGAUAUGCCUGAUAUCAUCUGGGCAGAAUAGAAGCUCAGGUGACAUAUGUCCACCACUCAAAAGACCCUCAAAUGCCAGCUCCAAUCACUAGCUGGGGUUCUUAGAGUUUCUUUCAAGGUCCUA